rnacentral:RNase_P_RNA from 1 species
AGAGUUGACUGGAUGGUCGCCGUUUUAUUGUAAUGAUAGAAGGGAGGAAAGUCCGGACUCCGCUGGGCAGAGUGCCAGAUAAUCACUGGGAGGCGUGAGCCUACGGAAAGUGCNNCAGGUGUGGCAGGGAAAACCCCACUCGGAGCAAGAUCAAAUAGGAAAGCUAACGCACGCCCUUGCGGCUUUCGGGUAGAUUGCUUGAGCGUUUGGGUGACUAAACGCCUAGAUGAAUGACCGUCCUAGACAAAAUCCGGCUUAUAGGUUAACUCUUUCU